rnacentral:rRNA from 1 species
UACGUAGGGGGCAAGCGUUGUUCGGAAUUACUGGGCGUAAAGGGCGCGUAGGCGGCCCGGCAAGUCGGGAGUGAAAGCCCGGGGCUCAACCCCGGAGGGUCUUCCGAAACUGCCGAGCUAGAGUGCGGAAGAGGCAACCGGAAUUCCCAGUGUAGCGGUGAAAUGCGUAGAUAUUGGGAAGAACACCAGAGGCGAAGGCGGGUUGCUGGGCCGACACUGACGCUGAGGCGCGAAAGCCAGGGGAGCAAACGGG